AUUGAAGCCUAGCGAUAUGUAAGUUAGUGGCGGACGGGUGAGUAACGCGUGGGUAACCUGCCUUGUACUGGGGGACAACAGUUGGAAACGACUGCUAAUACCGCAUAAGCGCACAGCUUCGCAUGAAGCAGUGUGAAAACUCCGGUGGUACAAGAUGGACCCGCGUCUGAUUAGCUAGUUGGCAGGGCAACGGCCUACCAAGGCGACGAUCAGUAGCCGACCUGAGAGGGUGACCGGCCACAUUGGGACUGAGACACGGCCCAAACUCC
rnacentral:rRNA from 1 species